CGACGGCACGCGCGCAAGCUCCGCCUGCGAACCCCGCCAGGUCCGGAAGGAAGCAACGGUAACGGGACUGGACUGUGCAGCGCGAUCCCCGAAGCUU
rnacentral:SRP_RNA from 1 species